AGAGCAACAAGUUACAAAAGAAAGGGCACACAAUCUUAGCAACAGAUGCAGAGAACAUUUGGCAAAAUGCAACACACAUUCAUGACUUUUAAAAAAGCCAACAACAGGCAGAAACAAGGCACCUCAUCUGCCUGGCCUCACUGGCAGCACAUGAUCCCAAGAUGGCAGAAACAGGAUGGCAGUGGCAAGGCCUGGUCUGCCGAGCUGCUCCUGAAGGCACUGGCUCUGAGGCCAGCAGAGGCAGUAUCUGAGCCCACAGCAGUGACAUUUGACAUGCAGUGGUGCAUUCCUUCUCCUAGAACGUAGGACCUGGGGACAAAUUUACCUGUAUGCUCACUUGCACAUCUCAAGGAAGGACCAAUAAGCAAUGCCAGAUGAGUCUGGGCAAAGACCAGCAAAGAGCACUAGCACUUCACCUGUAUCAUCUGGAGGCCCCUUGUGAAGUUCUACCUCUACUUCACCCAGUUCAAGGCCAAGGUGCGAGGCACUGAGAUUGAGUAGUCAUGGCCUACUCAAAAGCUGCAUUUAAAAGAGAAAGCGAUGUUUUCCUGAAAAAAUGAGGAAUUUGAAAUGAGCAAAACAACAGUGGCCCACAGGCCCAGUGCCUUCAAGGUCGAGCUGUCCAAGCUGGUGAUUGUGGCCAAGACAGCCUGCAACAAACUAUUCUGGAGUGCUGGCCAGUGACCAGUCUCUUGGGGACUCUUGGUGUCUUCCUAUACCAGUGGCCCUGCUCAGCGGGCAAGUAUGUGCAGAGAAGCCACUGCCCACCUCCCAUCACAGCCCUGCUUCUCACCUUAACACGAGGUGGACCAAGGACAACCUGCCCUUCUGAAGCCAGCCUGGGUCUUUGAGGGACUGGCCAGGUGCUGGGAGCCCCCAGGACUCAUCCCCACCGUCACUAACAGGCCCUCCUUUGAGUGGAACUGGGAAGACACCAAAUGUUCUUUCAUAUUUAAAUAAAUAACUGAGAAAAGAAAAUAGCCACCCAUCCAGGCCUUCCUGGGGUCUCUGUGAGGCUCCUGAUGGGACCCUGCAUACUGGGCAGCUGUCUGGGACUUGCUCCUGCAGAUGGGGCAGCUCCCCUCCUCAGUUCCAAAUGGCAAGAAGUCACCCACAAGUCAACACCCAACAGUCAGCAUCUAUGGCAAGUGCCUGAGGGUAGAUGUGCUGUCCCUACUUGGUGCUUGUUUUUUUUUUUUCUUCAGUACUGGGGAUAGAACUCAGGACCUUGUGCUUGCCAGGCAGGUAUAGUGCCACUGAGCUACACACCUGGCGGUUUUGUUUUUUGAAGUUGGAUUGUGGCAGAACAGCUUUAAAAACCAAACCACAGCCAGGCUCAGUGGUACAUGCCUGUCAUCCCUGCUACUCAAGAGGCUGAGGCAAGCCUGGCAAUUUAGUGAGACCGUAUGUCAAAAUAAACAAAAAGGGCCAGUGAUGUAGCUCAGUAUGAAGGGUCUGGGUUCCAUCCCCAAUAGUACUGGAAAAACAAGCCCCACUCUGAGAAGGCAAGAAGUGGAGAAGGUGGCAGCCAGCACAUCCUCCCAGUUCCACGUCAUGAUAAAGAGGGGCAUCACUUUUAUUUAAAUAAUUCUCGUGCUCUUUGUUUUGUUUUUAUUUUUAAAUUGAAUCUCAGAUUUACAAAAGAGUCUGAGCAGACUGGAUGGCCCACCAGGGGAUAAGGAAAAUUACAUACAUUGGUGAUCCAGCCAGCACAGUUGAAGGUGCAAAGGUUCACCUGGGGCCAGGGCUUCUGGGACAUCAGAAUGUCAGUUGGUUCUUCAUAUCCUUUAGACAUCUCAUGUAGAUUUCUUGCUAGGAAGACAUUCACACUUCUGGCCCUUUCUUUUCCACAGAACUGCAUAACACAUUAUACCCCAAGUUACUCUUCACUCUAAAUGGCAUGAUAUAUGUGUACUGUGAAAAUUUCCAUUGAAGAUAGGCAAGCAUUCCAGUGACUCCAGACUCCAUUCUUCAUAUCUGUUUGAUAUCCAAAGAAUGAAAGACCUAGCUGCUUGCAGUUAGAAACAGCACUUUAUUUAGGGCAUAACUUUGGGUUACAACAACCCAUCCCAUAUUUUUCUACUGUAUUUUUGUACUUUAGCAUACUAGUAAAGGCUGUGCAUCUCUGUACUUGCAGCAGGGUAUACAGGAAGCAAUUUUGACAUUUACCCACUUGGUAUGAGGAACAGCAAGGUGUGUGCACGUGUGAAGAAGUGUGAAACCAGGGGCCAGGGAUUUAGCUCAGUGGUUUCACCACCUGCUGCAUAAGCACAAGGACCUGAGUUCGAUCCCCAGUACAAAAAAAAAAAAUGUGAAACCAGGAUUUUUACCCACUUAAUGCUUUAUCCGGUUUUGCAUACCUGAGCAUCACAGGGGGUAAAAUAUACCCACACCACUCUACUGUUGUGUAAACAUGUAUCUUACCAUAAUAGAAUGUGGGUGUGACUCUUAGUAGCUGUGCCUGGGGAAAGCAAAAACCCAUUUGUGCAUUCACCCACUUGGCAGACAAAUGGCAAGGUAUGUACAGGGACUCCAAAGCAGCAACAGAGAUAGGCCAAUUCAGUACAAUGGCACAGGAAAAACCAGAUUUGCAAGUUUUACAAGAGGUCAAAAGCAAAUCAUCAGAUUAUUCAUGCAUGGAUGAUGAAGAUGGUAGUGAUACAGGAAAUAAUAUUGGAAAUGAAAUAUAAAAUAUUAUAUCUCCCAACCUGUUAGCUGUAUGAUAUGCUGAGCACUUGCUCUCUAAAAAUCAAAGAAUGAAUUCUAGGAACAAUGGAGGUUAAGAGUAUGAACAUAUUGAUAGGAAGGCUCUGAGGGGCAGGAGGGGGACCCGAGUGGGUAUCCUGGGGACCCCACUUUACAGAGGAGUUUUAUAGAGUGAUGCUCAUGUGGGUACAGUGGGGCCAUAUCCAUGAUCAUCCAAUAAGGUUACAAGUAUAGUCACUUAAAUAAUAUUGCUCCAAUUGGGAAACAAGUCACGUAACAAAACGGAUGGAGAGAACAGGAUUUUCUUAGGAAAUGGUGGAUCCAGAGGUUUUUGGUCACCCACUGGGGUGGCUGAUGUCUAUCUAGACUUCAUUAGGCCCAGUGUUUGUUCUUUGAGGAAGUAGGCAGGUCUGGUCAUCUUGUCUUUAUCUUGAAGCCAGGUUUCCAG
rnacentral:lncRNA from 1 species